rnacentral:lncRNA from 1 species
AGUCUGUAGGUGACUGCAGAAGGAGGAGGAGCUCCAUCUGUUCUCUCUUCAGGCAGUUGUUGUGUGUCUCAGCGCUUGUUGGGUUCACAACCUAUUAAAUAAGCCGGCUGGUCUUCACCCUCCCAGACAAGUCAACUCAGGGGAGUCAGCAGGGCACGGGCCUUGGCCCGCAGCCCCAGCUGGGGCCAUGCCUGGGCUGUGAAGUGGGCAGGCGAGCAGCAGGCAAGACCAUCUCUGCAAGUGCAGCAUAGCCUCAGCCUAGGGCAGCGGGAGUGUGUGGCCCAAGCUGUGAGCAAAGGCACAGAUGGUGACAGGAGUAGAGGCACCCCAUGGGAAACAUACUGACCUGUUGUGUGUGCCCCAGGGCCAGCCCUGGGUUGCACCAGCACCAGGGAUUGGUGUGUCACUGUGAGUCUGAGAUCUAUGAGGCAGCAGCUGGGGACCUGAUAGCAGGAGUGCCUGUGGCUGCUGCUGUAGAGCCUGGUGAGGUGACUUUUGUAGCUGGUGAGGGCCUCCACAUGCACCACAUCUGUGAACGGGAGAUGCCUGAAGAUAUACCUUUGGAGCCCAACCCUUCUGACCAUCCAAAGGCAAGCACAAUAUUCCUGAGAAAAUCUCAAACAGAUGUACAAGAAAAAAAGAAAAAGCAACUAUGCAAAGCAUGUAUCUACUGAGCAUUUUACUCAACAAUACAGUUCAUGUUCGACAAUAUUCCUUGAUGACAGCAUAGCCAGCCAGCCUCAUCUUACAAUGACACUAAAAUCUGUGACCUUGGCACUAUAUUAUCAUAUCAAGCAAAGAGAUGCACAUAGAUCUUUGGGCAUAUUUGAUGAACAGUUACACCCACUUACACGAAAAGAGGUUUUGGAGGAAUAUUUUAAGUAUGAUCCUGAACACAAAUUGAUCUUCAGAUUUGUUCGUACUCUGUUUAAAGCCAUGAGGCUAACAGCUGAGUUUGCAAUCGUAAGUUUGAUUUACAUAGAAAGACUUGUAAGUUAUGCUGAUAUCGACAUUUGUCCAACUAACUGGAAGAGGAUUGUCUUGGGAGCCAUUCUUCUUGCCUCCAAGGUUUGGAGUGAUAUGGCUGUGUGGAAUGAGGACUACUGCAAGCUCUUUAAGAACAUUACAGUUGAAGAAAUGAAUGAGUUGGAAAGGCAAUUCUUGAAGCUAAUUAAUUAUAAUAACAGCAUUACUAACAGUGUUUAUAGCAGAUUCUACUUCGAUCUUCGCACCUUGGCACACAACAACGGCCUGUAUUCACCAGUUUAUCUUCUUGACAGAGAAAGAGCUUGGAAGCUGGAGGCUUUUUCAAGGAUGGAACAAGACAAAGUUUUCUACAGUGCUGCCAAGAAUGGGUCUCUGAGUGCAGAUGAUUUAAUUCAUCUUCAGCGUGCUAAGGCCAUCCUCUUCUGAAGGAAGAAAUGAGGAGUAAUUUAACAUCUGAACCCCUCAUCAAAAAAGACAGGAAAAUAUCACCUCUCCUGCUAAAGAACUAGAAAAGUUGGUAUUUUCUAAAGAAGAAACACCUCAAUUCAAGUUAACUCAAGGACAACUAAGAUUGCACUUCGUAGUAAAGAAUGGGACCUUGUCAGGGCAACAACACACUCUUACACUCUUCUGUCCUGUUUAAUGUAAACAGAGUUAUAAAAACCACUUCAAAGUGAAGACUCCUGCCCACGUACAGAUAUUUGCUUAAUGUGUGGGCUGAUAGCUGUGAACUAUGUAAGGCUUUUAAAACAAUAGUUUAACUUUUUAGAUUUUAAAGAUAA